GCGGGGGUCGCCGAGUCAGGUCAAAGGCGCAGAAGAGCGUAGGCUUCAGGAGCCUGUCCCGAAGGGGUUCGUGGGUUCAAAUCCCACCCCCCGCA
rnacentral:tRNA from 1 species